UACAGAGGGUGCGAGCGUUGUUCGGAAUCACUGGGCGUAAAGCGCGCGCAGGCGGGACUUGCAAGUCGGGAGUGAAAGGCCGGGGCUCAACCCCGGAGCUGCUUUCGAGACUGCGGACCUGGAGACCAGUAGGGGUUGGUGGAAUUCCCGGUGUAGCGGUGGAAUGCGUAGAGAUCGGGAAGAACACCAGUGGCGAAGGCGAUUCUCUGGACUGUAACUGACGCUGAGGCUCGAAAGCGUGGGGAGCAAACAGGAUUAGAUACCCGGGUAGU
rnacentral:rRNA from 1 species